AAUUGGAUUGGAGGUGAAUCUGCGCUUAACUAAAAGGAUUCAAAAGUUUGAUACAUAGAAUAGAUCAUCAUUGAAGGCAUAGACCGUAGUGAUACGCAAAUGAUGUAUGUAACAGUACACUCAAGAUAAUAGCUCCCUUAAAUAUAUGUACAAUUGCAUAUACAGAGCUCAAUUUUUGAUUUUCAUUAGAUUUAUUUGCACCACAUACUCACCAUAUUUUCAUCGAAUACUUUCUAUCUGGGUCAUAUUAACGGUAUGUGUAGAAUUAACUUAUGUGUAUCCCAUACCACAUGGUAUAAACGAAGAUGGUCGCCUAAGAAGAGUUACAUCGUUUUCAAUUGAUAACUUGAAGGUGUGGAAAUACUUUCCCAUCACCUAUCACAACUGGAAAAUGCUCUGGCGAGUUUUAGCAGUCAGCAGAAAAGGAUAAGGCUUUGGCAAGAGCAAAUUAAACGAGGUGACGUAAAACUGGAAAAUAAACAUGCUUAUGGUCUGUGCAUCAAUCUGUGCUUAUAGUAUCUGUGCAUCAAUGUUCGAAAUAUAUCUGAUUCGCAAAACAAAA